UACGUAGGGGCCUAGCGUUGUCCGGAUUUAUUGGGCGUAAAGGGCUCGUAGGCGGUUUGUCGCGUCGGGAGUGAAAUCCACUGGCUUAACUGGUGGCUUGCUUUCGAUACGGGCAGACUGGAGGUAUGCAGGGGAGAACGGAAUUCCUGGUGGAGCGGUGAAAUGCGCAGAGAUCAGGAGGAACACCCGUAGCGAAGGCGGCACUCUGGGCCGAUACUGACACUGAGGAGCGAAAGCGUGGGGAGCGAACAGG
rnacentral:rRNA from 1 species